GUUCUAUGGAUGAGUGACAGCAGAGGUCAGUUGGAGAAUGACAGAGCUGCGGAGAAAAGGAUCUGGAGGAAACGAGCUGAAAUCAUGCUUUUUUUAAAUCAUUGGAACCAGCAAGACAGAUUUAACAUCAGAUGUGAAGCAAGUUGAGUACAAACAGGUGUUUGAUCUAAAAUGGACAGUGGGGCCUGAGCAGAGCCAUUGUGACCCAAGAAAAGCCACGUUGGCACUCGUUGGAAAACAACAGGGAUGGAAACAUCUUCUAUGCAUGCUGUAUUCCUGGAGAGAGAGGAACUGUGUUUUGUAUCUUUUUGCUUGCUUUUUGUACGUGCUACUGUUUUUUGGAGUCUGGACCUCUACUUCAGUGUGUGCCUUGACUUGAUGUCAACGAUUGAGUAUCCUUUCCUUUCCUUUCCUUUCCUUUUUGCAAAAAAGGGGGAGAAAAGAGUCCCUCCUUCAUUUUUUACUUGUCUGGACUAAUCUCGGCCUAGCUUAGCCUGGGACUAUAGGCAUUCACUUUGGUUGGCAAGAGGCCCAACUGGGAUAAAAUAUAUGUUCUCGGCACACACACACCCCUCUUCCCCUCAGGGAUGACAUAUACAUGACAUCAUUGUGUAUGUGUGCGAUCUAGUGCCUUAAUAAAUCAUUGUUAAUGUGUUUCAGUAAAACCAGUGACUAACAUCCAGACAAACAGUGCACUGGUAGAAGAAUGUUUUCCAUCAGGCAAGGAGGGGUGAUAUUUAGCAACUCCUCUUCACCUGGCAUCCUCUUAUGUCCCCUGGGACAUAUUUUCAGCAGGCAUGGGGGGCUACAGAUAGAAGGAAGUAUAGCUGAAAAUGGCCCCUCCUCUUUUGUGAUGGGAAAUGCUAUUCUGCUGGUGUGUCAUUAGUCUGGAUGUCAGCCACUGUGUCACCAUUUUUGUGUUUUGUGUGUGUUUGCCUUUCUGGUCAUGCAUUUGGCCCAAUGGUCUAGCUCAUUGUAACAAUUAAAUAACCUCGUUUACACAAUUGCUUUGCUUCUAGGCAUCCAUUUCAACCAUAUUACUCAGUAAGGGAGAUCUCUAAAUUCUCAGUUGUUCACAACAGAUAUUCCCCACAAUAUAAAUUCCCCACAAAAUAAAUAAAAUAUUUAAACUAUCCUACAAAUUUUCCAAGAGAGCUCAACAUGCCUUUUUUGUUCCCUUUGCUAACAACUGCAAACUUUGUCAUCUUGUCUAUGUUGCCCACUUCACAAAAACUCCAUGAGGCUGUUCUCACGAGCAGCCAAGCCCAGGCUUAGGCAGCUGCCUGUGAGAACUGCUGGGAUCCACGUGGAUCCUGUUGGUGCCACAGUUCCAAACCCAGUGCUGAAGCCUGGUUCUUAGCUGAAGAUAAGUUCCCUUAACCCGGCUGCCAGGAUCAUGUGUCAGUGUGGGCUUCUUGCAGCUCACGCUGACACAGAGAUAGGCACCUAAAGCGCCCAUCCCCUGGUGAAAUCACCUAGUGCACCACGCUCGGUGUGUGGUGCACAGUGGGAUACCUAGUGGCCGGGAUAAUGAGCAAUUCACUCUGUUCCACGAUAUACGGAGCAGCUGGAUCAUGUGCAAGUGCAGAGCACACUCCCACCAAGGACAGGAUGAUCAUCUUGGGAGAAGGCAAGGUUUGCGAAGCCUUCCCUCCACCCACCUGGUAGAUCGUGUGAAUGGCCCCCAUAUAUAAUUUCUUUCCUCAAGCCCAUGUCUUAAUGACAUAUUGUGGCUGCUUUGCAACAAUCCUGGCUGACAGUGGAAUUGGCUACUGAAUCUUAAUUAUUGAUUUUUGGGAAUCCAUUAUCAUUGUUACUGCUCAAAUGGGAGAAAGAGCAGACUAGCAUAAAUUUGAAAACAACAGCAGUUUAACAAAGUCUGCUACUUGUGGAAUGGUCCGGUCUAGUUCCGUCAUCUAUAAGCCCAGGAUUACUCAUCGAUCCUUUAGUUCAUUCCUUCAUAAGGUCUAUUCUCCUCUGGGGAGUGCCCUGCAGCUCUGAUACCAUUAGCAUGCUUUGUAGCUAAUAUAUGUUACUGCAGCUCUUGUGCCCAAAAGUUACUGAAUAUUAUAUGUGUUCUGAGUCAGACACUGCUGGUGUAAAUUAACAUAAGCAAUGAACCAUAGGAUUGACACUGAAUUUUUUGAAAAAGGUCAAAUCAAAGGAAAUGGCAAGGUUCCUCUCAAGGAGAAAGAUCUGGGAAUUUUUAGUGGAAGUCAAACCAGUUUCUUUAAGACAAAUGAAAUUUUCCCCAGGGCUUUGGCACAUUGCAAGGGUUGGCACCAAAAUAUCACGCACAGGCCUGGUUCACACAGUCAUCCAAAUCUAGGUUUAAUAUGGGUUACUCACAUUGAUUUGAUCGUUUGAACUCAUGCCAUGGUGGUUUAUGGCUCAAGAUGAAUCUCACAUUGGUGUGAGUUCACACAAUCACGCUAAUGUCAGUGACCAACAUUAAACUUAGAUUCAAAUGACUGUGUGAACAGCCACAGUGAAAUUUGAAAUAAAUAACAAGUUUCAUUGGAAGGUGAAACAUCUGACAAUUGUCAAGGAAUGCCAAAUGAGUUCCUGUAAGACAAAUGUAAUUUCUUGGGUAGGGGGAGGUCUGUAUAUUCCUAAGAAGCUAAAUGGCAGCUCUGCACUUGAAUCAGUGAUUAUCUGUGGCAUUCUCUUAAAAUCUGGAUUUCUUUGCAGCAGAAUUUGAAUGUGCAUAUUCAAAUAUGUGUGCAGGGUAUGAAUGCUUUGUUCAUAAGUAAUUCACAUUCUCUCGUUCUCUCUCCCUCCUCCCUGCCACCCCAAAGUAUGGCUGGUAGAAGUGAACAAAUAAAGAAUUACUAGCACAUUCAUGUCAGUGUGGAAGCAUCUGUGACAAUGAUUCAAUUACAGCAUAUUGGUUCCAUCACAGCCUUCUGCUCUAAUAGUAUAUGGUCCACAGGGAUGCUUUGCAUGCCCAGCUUUGAGUUUCAUACAGUCUCAUCAUCAUGCAUGGUCAUAAAUUAGAUUGAAACAUACUGCUUUAUGUCAUGUCUGCCUUCCCAGUUUUAAUUAACUAAGUGCCAGACUCUGGUAAAGCAUUCAGAGAUACUUCUCAAAAAUUCUCUUGCAAGGAACUUGUCUGCAUUAACUAUAGCUUGCUCCUCUGAGCAACCAUCUCUGAAGGCCAAUCCCCAGUCUAUUCUCAUAGCAAGUGGGUUGUUUGAAUGAUUUGCCAUGAGCAAAACUUGCAAAGUUUGUUUUUUUUUUAAAAAAGUCUCCCACCAAUCUGUACAUCUAUUUGCAAAG